rnacentral:lncRNA from 1 species
AUUCAAUCAAAAUUUCAAAAGAAUUAUAUAAGAAGCACAAAGUAUUCUUAGAAUCCCUUUAAAGAAUAAAAAAGAAAUAAGGUAGAAAUUUUAAAAAUAUACUAAAAUAGAAACCUUAAUAAAAGAUUAAAAUAGAAACCUUAAUUAAAUCUUAAUCAAAAUCUAAUCAAAUCCUAAUCAAAUCCUAAACAAACCCUAAAAAAAUCUUAACCAAAUCCUAUUCAAAUCCUAAACAAAUCCUAACCAAAUCUUAACCAAAUCCUAAAUAAAUCCUAAACAAAACCUAAUCAAAUCUAAGUCAAUCCUAAAUAAAUCUUAUUCAAAUCCUAAACAAAUACUAAUCAAAUUUUAAUCAAAUCCUAGUCAAAUCUUAAAAAAAUCCUAAUCAAA